UGUGUUAGGAAGAGCAAAGUUUUUAGAAAAAAUCAGAAGGUUGAAUUGAAUCGCAAAGAAUUACAAAAAGAUCCUAAAGGAAGCAAGUCAUCCGUAUACCUUUGAUCUAGAAACAGCAACUCAGCUUUCUGAUCCAAAUUCAGCUCUUCGAAUUUAAUCCCUAGAAAUGGCAAAGUCUCCACCUCCACAAACCCUGUCAACACAAAACUGCCUGCCUACAAAGUUAGCCAACAACUUCAUAGACCAAUUCAAGCUACAAUCCAAUUCACAGUUAGUAAGAGGAAUCAAUCAUCAGCACCUGAUUCCACAG
rnacentral:lncRNA from 1 species